rnacentral:rRNA from 1 species
AACGUAGGACGCGAGCGUUAUCCGGAGUUACUGGGCGUAAAGGGUGGGCAGGCGGCCGUGUCAGAUGGGUGUGAAAUCUCCCGGCUCAACCGGGAGGGGCCACUCGUGACUGCACGGCUGGAGGGCAGCAGAGGCGCGUGGAAUUCCGGGUGGAGUGGUGAAAUGCGUAGAGAUCCGGAGGAACACCAGAGGCGAAGGCGGCGCGCUGGGGCUGCACCUGACGCGUGAAACCCACGAAAGCCAGGGUAGCGAACGGG